UACAGAGGGGGCAAGCGUUGUUCGGAAUUACUGGGCGUAAAGCGUGCGCAGGCGGUUUUGUAAGUCUGUUGUGAAAUCCCCGGGCUCAACCUGGGAAUGGCAAUGGAGACUGCAAGGCUAGAGUUUGGCAGAGGGGGGUAGAAUUCCACGUGUAGCAGUGAAAUGCGUAGAGAUGUGGAGGAACACCGAUGGCGAAGGCAGCCCCCUGGGUCAAGACUGACGCUCAUGCACGAAAGCAUGGGGAGCGAACAGG
rnacentral:rRNA from 1 species